UCGCCUGUUUAUUCAAAACAUAGCCUCCUGACCCAAUAUAGGAGGUUCAUCCUGCUCUAUGAUAUUUAUUAAAUGGCCGCGGUAUCCUGACCGUGCAAAGGUAGCAUAAUCAUUUGCCUCCUAAUUAGAGGCUGGAAUGAAUGGACACACGAAAUCUAAGCUGUCUCAUAGGUUAUAAUAAAAAUUUAUCUCCAAGUGAAGAAACUUGGAUAAAUUUGAAAGACAAGAAGACCCUAAUGAGCUUUAAUUCUCUCCUGUUUCUCUCUAAAAUUUUAAUUAUUAACUAAACAUUAUAGAAUUUUUGUUGGGGCGACAAAAGAAAUCAAGUUACUUCUUUAUAUAAAAUAAGAGAAAUUCCUCUAAAUAUUUGACCUAAUUUUAAUUAAUCAAUAGCACUAGCUACCAUAGGGAUAACAGACUAAUUUUUCUCCAGAGCUCAAAUUUACAGAAAAGAUUGGCACCUCGAUGUUGGCUUAGAGGCCCCUUAUGAUGCAGCAGUCAUAAAAGGUGGGUUUGUUCAACCCUUAAAACUCUACGUGAUCUGAGGUUCAGACCGGA
rnacentral:rRNA from 1 species